rnacentral:rRNA from 1 species
GUAGUUAGCCGGGGCUUCCUCCUUGGCUACCGUCAUUUUUUCGUCACCAAGGACAGAGGUUUACAACCCGAAGGCCUUCUUCCCUCACGCGGCGUUGCUGGGUCAGGCUUUCGCCCAUUGCCCAAUAUUCCCCACUGCUGCCUCCCGUAGGAGUCUGGACCGUGUCUCAGUUCCAGUGUGGCCGAUCAGCCUCUCAGCUCGGCUACCCAUCGCGGACUUGGUGGGCCGUUACCCCGCCAACUAUCUAAUGGGACGCGAGCCCCUCCCUUUGCGGAUUGCUCCUUUGACCUCAGAGCGAUGCCACUCCGUGGUCUUAUGCGGUAUUAGCAUCUGUUUCCAAAUGUUAUCCCCCUCAAAGGGUCAGGUUGCUCACGCGUUACUCACCCGUUCGCCACUCGGUACAAAACCGAAAUCUUGUACCCCGUUCGACUUGCAUGUGUUAGGCACGCCGCCAGCGUUCGUCCUAAGCCAUGAUCAAACUCUGA